rnacentral:rRNA from 1 species
AGCGAACGCUGGCGGCAGGCCUAACACAUGCAAGUCGAGCGGGCACCGCAAGGUGUCAGCGGCAGACGGGAGAGUAACACGUGGGAACGUGCCCUUCGGUUCGGAAUAACUCGGGGAAACCCGAGCUAAUACCGAAUACGCCCUUACGGGGAAAGAUUUAUCGCCGAUGGAGCGGCCCGCGUCUGAUUAGCUAGUUGGUGAGGUAACGGCUCACCAAGGCUACGAUCAGUAGCUGGUCUGAGAGGAUGAUCAGCCUCACUGGGACUGAGACACGGCCCAGACUCCUACGGGAGGCAGCAGUGGGGAAUAUUGGACAAUGGGCGCAAGCCUGAUCCAGCCAUGCCGCGUGGAUGAUGAAGGCCUUAGGGUUGUAAAGUCCUUUUAACGGGGAAGAUAAUGACGGUACCCGUAGAAUAAGCCCCGGCUAACUUCGUGCCAGCCGCCGCCGUAACAC